CUCUCGCUCGCUCUCGCCCUCACGAUGGCGCUUCUCACCCUGGGACUGGAGAUGGGCGCCGCUCCCGUCGCCGUCGCCGUGGCCGCCUCGCGCCUCUCCUUCUCGCGGAGCGGGAGCCUCGUGGGUUCGUCCUCUGUCGUCUCCCUGUCUCUUCUGUCGGCCUCGACGCCCCUCACCUCCGCGCACGCUCCUCCUCCUUCCCUCUCCAUUAACUGCGGCAGAGGCGAUAAGAAGACCGCGAAAGGGAAGCGGUUCAAGCAUUCCUUCGGAAACGCGCGGCCUCGGGACAAGACGAAGGGGAGAGGUCCGCCGCGGUCUCCGGUGCCGCCCUCGCCGCCUAAGAAGGACCGUUUCGAUGAUGGAGAGAUCGUCAAGAUCGAAAUCGAUGAGUCCCUCUUCUCCUAGCUCUUCUGAACAUUGCUUUUCUCGAUCUGUACUUCCUCGUGUAGCUUUUUCUGCAAGUCGGAUUGCCUAAUCUUAACUCGUUGAACUUUCUCUGAUAUUUGCAUCUACCGAUGAAGACGUUGAAAUUUACGAUCGCAACACCCCCUUUUUG